UGGAGAGGAGUGAAUCCACCGUAGCCGUGAAAUGCGUAGAUAUAUGGAGGACACCAGGGCGAAGGCGACUUUCUGCUAUGUCUGACGCUGAGGCGCGAAAGCGUGGUAGCAACAGGAUAGAUACCCUGUAGUCACGCUGUAAACGAUGAGUGCUAGGUGUUAGGGGUUUCGAUGCCCUUAGUGCCGUAGCUAACGCAAUAAGCACUCCGCCUGGGGAGUACGGCCGCAAGGCUGAAACUCAAAGGAAUUGACGGGGGCCCGCACAAGCAGUGGAGCAUGUGGUUUAAUUCGAAGCAACGCGAAGAACCUUACCAAGGCUUGACAUCCCAUUGACCGGUAUAGAGAUAUACCUUUUCUUCGGAACAAUGGUGACAGGUGGUGCAUGGUUGUCGUCAGCUCGUGUCGUGAGAUGUUGGGUUAAGUCCCGCAACGAGCGCAACCCUUGAUCUUAGUUGCCAUCAUUAAGUUGGGCACUCUAAGGUGACUGCUAGCACGACGACUCGGAGGAAGGUGGGGAUGACGUCAAAUCAUCAUGCCCCUUAUGUCUUGGGCUACACACGUGCUACAAUGGCUGGUACAGAGGGUAGCAAAGCCGCGAGGUGGAGCCAAUCCCAAAAAGCCAGUCUCAGUUCGGAUUGUAGGCUGCAACUCGCCUACAUGAAGCAGGAAUUGCUAGUAAUCGCGGAUCAGCAUGCCGCGGUGAAUACGUUCCCGGGCCUUGUACACACCGCCCGUCACACCACGAAAGUUUGCAACACCCAAAGUCGGUGAGGUAACCAUUUAUGGAGCCAGCCGCCCAAGGUGGGGUAGAUAAUUGGGGUGAAGUCGUAACAAGGUAACCGUAA
rnacentral:rRNA from 1 species